CUCUCCAGACUGUAAUCAGCCGAGGAGUUGCUGUUCGGCGGAUCUUGCGGCUGAUCACCGAAGGGGCUGCGGCUAGGGCACGGUGAAGGACCAGAUCUCGCGUCGACCCCCAUCCAAUCGUCCACCGAAGCUUGGAGAGGUGCCCUAGUUCGGAUUUGUGCCACUCGAUUCGCCGGCGUGGGUCUUGGAUUCCCUUCCUUGUUGAUUGUUGAUUUGAGGAUCAGAGGAAUCUUCGAUACUCCGCUUCACGGAUUGGAUCGGGUGACAUUUUCUAGAGACGAUCAAUUGAGGAAGCAUUGGGUUGCUGUGGAUCAAUGAUUUAGGUCACGGGAUUGAUUUCCAGUGAGGUUCUUACUUGAUUCCAGCAUCCAGUAGCUGAGAUUGAGGAUUCUGAUUCGAGACAGGCGUCUCGACGUUGACUUCGGAUUUGGGAUUGUACCUUCUAUU